rnacentral:rRNA from 1 species
UACGAAGGGGGCUAGCGUUGCUCGGAAUCACUGGGCGUAAAGCGCACGUAGGCGGCUUGUUAAGUCAGGGGUGAAAUCCUGGAGCUCAACUCCAGAACUGCCUUUGAUACUGGCGAGCUUGAGUCCGGGAGAGGUGAGGUGGAACUGCGAGUGUAGAGGUGAAAUUCGUAGAUAUUCGCAAGAACACCAGUGGCGAAGGCGGACUCACUGGCCCGGUACG